AUACGGAGGGUGCAAGCGUUACUCGGAAUCACUGGGCGUAAAGCGCAUGCAGGCGGUCUAAUAAGUUGGAAGUGAAAGCCUAUGGCUCAACCAUAGAACUGCUUCCAAAACUGUUAGACUAGAGUCUGGGAGGGGAAGAUGGAAUUAGUAGUGUAGGAGUAAAAUCCGUAGAGAUUACUAGGAAUACCAAAAGCGAAGGCGAUCUUCUGGAACAGUACUGGCGCUGAGAUGCGAAAGCGUGGGGAGCAAACAGGAUUAGAUACCCUAGUAGUCC
rnacentral:rRNA from 1 species